UUUUUUUCUCUUUUUUUGCCUGAUUGUCCCCCGUACAUAAUGACAGAUCUUUUCUAAAACUGUCACUGUGCACCAUGAGCCUUUAUGAGCUGUAAAUGAUCCACUUGCACAGUAUGAGUUGAAACCACAUUUAUCCAAUCACAGCGUAUGCUCGGCCUAAAAGUCGUCAUUGGAUAUCAUUAGAGCUGGACUAUAUGGAUGGGAAUGAAUAUAUUUAAGUUGUUUCAUGGUAUUAUUUCCAACCUCAAUAAUGACAGAAAACAACCCCAAAACACAAUUCUCCAUACACAAGUACCCCCCCCCCUGCUCCUACUGGGUGUUGCAGGGUCAUUGAAGGGCUGCUUUCCCACUGCUGGCAGCAGGGGAAAAACAGUGUAGUGUGAUUUAUGAUGUUAAUCAUUAGCAGGAGAGGAGUGGAGGCAUAGAGGGAGUGGAGAGAAGCUGCACUGCUUGAUGGAGUGUGUCCCCUCUGCUUGAGCCAAGCCUACAUUUGGCUCCACGCAGAGAGGCUGAGCACACUGCUGUCUGAUGGAGCGCGAUGGACAGCAACUGGGGAGAUGCAUGAAUUCAUCGCAGGAUGGUAGUCAAGAACACCGCCAUGGCUGGGUUCAAAUGAGUCGAAAAUCAUGAUUCAGCAACAACAAUCCAAAGAGGGGUGGAAAAAAAGGGAAAAUAUAAGCCAGGAGCCAAUUGAGCAGUCCUCCAGGACAAAACAGGAAGUAAACGUUGUCUCCAAUUACCAAACUAUCAUGGGACUAUAGAGCUCUGAAUCCACAAUAAGUAAAAUUCAGCAAAACUUGAUGCUGUCUCAGUCUUUUUUAAUGAGUUCAAAGUUUCAAACAUCUCAGGACUUCAAACUUCUCACACAUUUCAAGUGGUUUGACCCUCCCUGAUUAGGAUUUGGCAAGAGUCUUUUUGAGGAGCUGUCUGCACAGAGAAUUCAUCCUUAAAAUAUGUGUCAAGUAAGAUUUUCAGCUAUUUCAGUAACAAAGGAUUGCUGUACGGGCAUAAAGUCGUGAGAGCAGGGGCGUGUCCUGACUGUCUCGACUGGGGUGCCCCAACCACAGCUGUGACUCACGCAGGGGUGGCAUGAAGAUUGUGUGCAGAAUCAGGAAUCACAAUUAAAUACUCACUUAUAUCAUCUCAGCUAAUUUAAUUUAACUACUUACAUGUAAUAAUGGAGGUAUAAUUAGAUUAGAUACAACUUUAUUUAUCCUUUUCGAACUUCCCUCAAGAAAAAUAAAAAGUUAAGUGGUGCAGAAGUACAAUCCUGUGUAUGCACUGAAAAAGUUUCACAACAUUGUGAUAACAUAUCUAACUUCUCUGCUUCAUGUGGGGACUCAAGGAAAAAUAAAGGAUAAUAACAAACAAAAUAAAGAGAAAAUAUGCUUGAGAUGUAAACAAAGACAACAUGGGGGAUUCAGUUAUUAAUAAUAAUUUAUACAUAAACAUUAAAAUUGAACAUAAGCCAACCAGAACAGUCGUAGGCUGAAGCUUAAGUUUAUUCCGCCCACCUUUACAGGGAACAUAUGUAAUAUAAGAGCAAAAUAACAUAACAAUCCUUUAAUGUUCGUACAAAUGACAAGAAAACAAGCCAACAUGAGUGUGACUCCUGCAUUUAUACCUCAUCUUUACAUGGUUCUAUCAAAUUAUUUUUAAGCAUCCCUUAAAAAAAAAAAAGGCAAUUCAGGUUUUUUCAGUUCCUACACACUUUGUGUUUAUGUGAAAAGUCAUUUUUGCAUCUCAUUACAAUGCACGUGUGUGUGUGUGCGCGUGCGUGUGUGUCAGGCUGAGACCAGAGUGGAGGAAACAGCAGCGUCACCUGAUCCCUACAUGUUUUCAAUUAGCUCUGACCUGCGGAGGGUUGACAGGGAGCUUCACACAGUGAUUGACAUUGUGUUGUGACAAAGUGUGUAAAAAAACAAGAAACUUUGAUGAUACAGGGAGACAGAUCACUCCCUCUGCAGAUACACACACAGACGGACACGAUGAAUGAAUGAUGAUUCAGAGGGCACAAACUUUUACAAAAAUAAUGUGUAUACUAUGACGUUAUGAAGUCAAAUGUUAGUUUAAUCUGUUUCAUAAUUUUUUAUUUAUAUCAAUGGAUUCAUUAUUUGUUCUUGUUCAAUUGAAUUUCAGUUAAAUUUUAGUUUAUUAUUCCAAUUAUAACCUGAUUAAAGCUCCUAUGUAGAUUUUUUGUCAUUUUUGAAAUACUUUAAAUAUUAAAUAUUUUUAUGAGAUCUGAAAGUAAACAAAACCAACAGAGGUGAUAAUAACAAUUUGUAAUUUGUAAUUUUUAAUGCCUGAAAAUGAAGUGAGGGAGGUGGGCGUUCCGUACAAGUGAAUAAAAGCUAAUUAUACAGUAUGUUUAUUAAUUUAAUUAACCCUUUUAAAGUCUGAUUAAUGUAAAUAAAUACACUGUUAAUAUUUAUGAAAAUUAAAAAAAUAAAUAACAAAUUUCUGAUGAGAGUCUAUAAAUGAAUAAUGAAUGUGUUAAUUAUGCUUUUAUUGUUUAUUAGCAUCCUAUAAUGUCUUAUUAGUGGCUUAUUAGCUGUUAAUUCAUGCUAAUUACACAGAACUUAAUAUAAAGUGUUACUAAUAUUUGAUCUGAUGUUUUUGCUCCUAUUUCAGUCGAAUAAAGGCAUUAAAGGAUUGGCAAACUGUCAGUCUAGUUUUCAUGGUAUCUGGAAUUUUUGGAUUGGGGUUAAAAUUAUUACAAUAAAUUUUGGUGGAAAUACAAGAAACCUGAAAAAAUCUCUGUUAUAAUGGAAGCUACAUAAGUGUAACCCAGUGUAAUUCCUAGCAGCGUUAUAGUGAACUCGCUCCAUCCAAAAGGAAAAUCCGGCACUACCUGAGGCAUCUAACCAGCAGAUCCCGAAAUCUCUCUGUCACAUCCCAGAGAACAACAUGGUCUCUAUCAAAAGCCAGCCGCUUUGUGAAGCAUGACAAAAGUUCUGGACGGGUGGGAGGAGAGCGCUUCACAUCACACAAGCUGUCAGGGAAGUUCAAAGCGGGUUCAGAGAGGAGUCAGACUUCACCCUGACGUGAGCUGUUGGUGCAAACAGAUCCGAGACUCUACCUGACGUCUCAGACUUCUCCCUGUCUUCCCGAGUGGCAGGUCAGAUUGCUGGAAUCUCCCCUCUGAUGACAAGAUUUUUGUUUUUCUUUUGGCUGCCUUUCGACUUUUCAAUAAAAUGUAACAGGCCAGUGCUGAGGCAGCCGACUUUGGCAGCUCAGGGGGAUGUUUUUCCCUUUUUUUUUUUUUUUUCAGGAGAGACGAGAAUUGAAGCUCGCAGUGUGUGACAAAUAACCAAUAGUUACAGAAAAAUGUGACAUGGACUUUGAUGAAUCGGGUUGUGAUUCCCUGUUUCCUGUUCAUUUCAUUGCUUAUCCUUCAGUGAGAGUUUGUCAAAAAUGCUUCCAUCCUUAAAAUCUACUCCUGGCCUUGAGUAAAACACAUCCAAACUUCCAAACUAAAAAAAAAGCCAAAUUAUCACCUGACAAAUGCAGAGACAAGUCCCACUCAGGUGUGUUGAUGCUGCUGACAGCUUUCAUUUCAACACCCAUCUCCCCUAAGAAUCUCUGCAGGUUUUUUCCAACAAACUAAGUCUGAGUUAUGUGCAUGACAAACUUUUUCACAAAUGAUCCAUGUGAAGAGCGGGAGUGAGUGUGCAUUUAUGCUGCUUUCACAUUCUACUCCAUGGAUGAUGGAUGUGGGAUUAGGCAGUAUCAUGAAUCAUAUCAAUGUUUUCCCAGUCACUGUCGAGACAUGUGCGACUAAGCCCUGUUCCUGAAAGAUUCUCAUGAAAAGCAAAGGAUAAUGCUUCAGCUUCUUAUGGAUUAGCAUAGAAAAUGUAAAAACCUCAGCACAGAGAGCCUUAAAAAUAGGCAGAAUAUGAUAAGUACUGUACAACUGUCCAUUUUUUGAGUUGCCAUAUUUUAUACAAGUGCAUAGGAGGAUUGAUUUUGCUACUCUUACUUCUCUAUAUAUCACAAAUAUCGCAGCUCCAUCUCUUUAAAUCAGACCAACUCCCAUUCCAUUUCCAACCACAUGAGUGAAACACUUAUCAGCAUAUAGUCAGUUACAGUGGAGAGGACUAAUUUCCUUUAACAGGCAGAAACCUCGAGC